rnacentral:rRNA from 1 species
GAUGAACGCUGGCGGCGUGCCUAAUACAUGCAAGUCGAGCGAACGGACGAGAAGCUUGCUUCUCUGAUGUUAGCGGCGGACGGGUGAGUAACACGUGGAUAACCUACCUAUAAGACUGGGAUAACUUCGGGAAACCGUAGCUAAUACCGGAUAAUAUUUUGAACCGCAUGGUUCAAAAGUGAAAGACGGUCUUGCUGUCACUUAUAGAUGGAUCCGCGCUGCAUUAGCUAGUUGGUAAGGUAACGGCUUACCAAGGCAACGAUGCAUAGCCGACCUGAGAGGGUGAUCGGCCACACGGGAACUGAGACACGGUCCAGACUCCUACGGGAGGCAGCAGUAGGGAAUCGUCCGCAAUGGGCGAAAGCCUGACGGAGCAACGACGCGUGAGUGAUGAAGGUCUUCGGAUCGUAAAACUCUGUUAUUAGGGAAGAACAUAUGUGUAAGUAACUGUGCACAUCUUGACGGUACCUAAUCAGAAAGCCACGGCUAACUACGUG